ACAAUGCAUUAUUCCAAGGGACAAAAAUGGGCUUGCAUGAUAGGAAUACUGAGCAAGGGGCUCUUCCACUGCCUUUUGGAGUUCUUGUUGCCCUUGUGGAGAUUGGCAGCUGCCACAGAAAAUGUAGCUUUGCACUGACAGUUGAAUUCUGUAUUUUUUACUCGAAAUUUGAGUAUUUUUUUUACAACAAUCAAUAGUUAGAUGUUUGAUUAAAACUAAAAUUUUGUGUGUUGAUGAUGUGCAAACUAAUGUUAACACAUGAUGUGAUAAUGAGGGAUCAAGCCUGGAAUUGCUGUGUAUUCAGCUGCUUCUGGAGAAGGGUGUUGUGGACACUGUGCUGCAGCUCUGCAACAUCUCUUACUGAAGCUUCUUAUUUUCUCUCCAACAAACUAGAUAUGAAAAGGCAGAACUAAAAGUAAGUCUGUUCUUGGAGGAAACAGAACGCACCUUUCUAACAGCAACUGCAAACAAAAUGGCCACUAUCUCAGGAAACAGAUAAUUUCUCAUCAAGUUAAAGGAGUUCAACAUAAAAGAACACCUGGCAAACUCAGUUUUCCAACUUCUUGGGUUCUUAGACUAUGAAGAUCUGAGAGAGAAAACUCAACAGAGCAGCUGUCAAAAAAGGAUAUUGCUGGUUUGGCUUAAGAUUGCACUCAGCACACAAGUUAGCCAUUCUGUACAUUCCAUCCAAAAGUAAGUGGAAUAAAAUAAAA